CUACGGGUCGCUGCAGUGGGGAAUAUUGGACAAUGGGGGAAACCCUGAUCCAGCAAUGCCGCGUGUGUGAAGAAGGCCUGCGGGUUGUAAAGCACUUUCGGUUGGGAGGACUGCUUCUAGCACUAAUAUUGUUGGAAGUUGACGUUACCUUCAGAAGAAGCACCGGCUAACUCCGUGCCAGCAGCCGCGGUAAUACGGGAGGGUGCAAGCGUUAAUCGGAAUUACUGGGCGUAAAGCGCGCGUAGGCGGCUAGAUCAGUCGGGUGUGAAAGCCCCGGGCUUAACCUGGGAACCGCAUCCGAGACUGUCUAGCUGGAGUACAGGAGAGGAGAGUGGAAUUCCACAUGUAGCGGUGAAAUGCGUAGAUAUGUGGAGGAACACCAAUGGCGAAGGCAGCUCUCUGGCCUGAUACUGACGCUGAGGUGCGAAAGCGUGGGGAGCAAACAGGAUUAGAUACCCUCGUAGUC
rnacentral:rRNA from 1 species